AUUGAACGCUGGCGGCAGGCCUAACACAUGCAAGUCGAACGAGUGGCGGACGGGUGAGUAAUGUCUGGGAAACUGCCUGAUGGAGGGGGAAAACGACGGGAAACGGUAGCUAAUACCGCAUACCAUCGGAUGUGCCCAGAUGGGAUUAGCUAGUAGGUGGGGUAAAGGCUCACCUAGGCGACGAUCCCUAGCUGGUCUGAGAGGAUUACCAGCCACACUGGAACUGCGACCCGUGCCCGACUCCUACGGGUGCCAGCAGUGGGUACUAUUGCACAAUGGGCUCAAUCCUGAUGCAGCCAUGCCGCGGGUAUGAAGAAGGCCUUCGGGUUGUAAAGUACUUUCAGCGGGGCGGCGUUACCCGCAGAAGAAGCACCGGCUAACUCCGUGCCAGCAGCCGCGGUAAUAC
rnacentral:rRNA from 1 species